rnacentral:rRNA from 1 species
UACAGAGGUCCCAAGCGUUGUUCGGAUUCACUGGGCGUAAAGGGUGCGUAGGCGGUCGGGUAAGUCUGAUGUGAAAUCUCACAGCUUAACUGUGAAACUGCAUUGGAUACUAUCCGGCUCGAGGAAUGGAGGGGAGACUGGAAUACUUGGUGUAGCAGUGAAAUGCGUAGAUAUCAAGUGGAACACCAGUGGCGAAGGCGAGUCUCUGGACAUUUCCUGACGCUGAGGUGCGAAAGCGUGGGGAGCGAACAGG